rnacentral:lncRNA from 1 species
UCACAUGAAUAUAUUAAAAAUUAAUUUUUAAUUUGUAUGCAAAUAAAAAUAGUUUUAUUAAAACCACAUAUCAUUAUGUUAAAUAAUAAUUAAGCCGGUGAUACCGCUUUUGAAACAGACACACAAUAAGCCCAUACUUCAUCUCUUUUCUGUAAAUAUUUGGAUUCGUUUCCGAUUAAACUAGGUCUAUCCGCGAUAUAUUUGAUAAGUGUGUCAUGACACUCUUUGCCUUCUUGAACAAGCUCCUUGCAACAAGGAAUGGAUACAACUCCAUCUCCAAAAACUUGAGAAAUGAUCUUGAGCGCACAGUUUGGACUGAUUUUAACAACACAUUGAUCCCAUAACUUUUUUGGCUCAUUUUCUUCUACAGCUAAUGAAGGUACACAUGUAAUCGCCACAACUAGAACUACCAAAGACAACAUAAUAAAGUUAAGCUUCGCCAUGGUUGUUAUGUGUUUGAGGAUUUACAGUUUAACUUUUCUCAAGUUAGAGAAAUAAAUAAGUUUUUAAAUUUCUGAUGUUAUUUGAAUAAACGAGGUUUGCCUUAUUUAUAGAUACGAAUAAUCAAUAUUUAACAUUUAUUUUCGACUAAUGAAUUUUGCUUUUGACGUUUUUUUGUUCAUUAACAUGUGUUAAGUUACGUUUUUUGCUGAAGUUAUUAACUGCUUAGGUUUAUAGUUUAUAAAUAAUUAAAUUAGGAUUCUUGUAGUAUACAAAUGAACAUUCUAAGAACUUAUAUAAGUAUUUAAAUUAAAAACUACAGAACAUUUUUUAAUGAAUAUUUUUUAUGUCAGCAACAUAUAAUUUGGUGGUUGUAUAUCAACUUACUAACAAAAACCAAAAGUACACUCUAACAUUUUAUCAAUCUAAAAAUGCUUUAAAGUAUAUAUCAAUAUAUUUCUCUCUGAGAUUAAAGGAGAGAGUUUCAGAUUUUAUAUAUUCUUUAUUUCAUGAUGUAGGAUGCUUAAGAAUAUAAUUUUAUCCUUUUAAUUGUAUAAAGUUUUAUAUCGAGAUGGUUAUUAGGUAAAGCAUGACUCCACUUGGGAAAAUAAUCUACAAAUUUAAAUUCCCUCUACAAGAAACAAAAUAUGAAAUCUAUAAAGAAUGAAAUUUGAUAAAAAAGAAAUAAAAAAUGUGUGUUCAAAAAAAAAAAAAAAUGAAAACAAAUUUUUGAAUUUAAGCUUGCGAUAUCAGGUUUUAUCAAUUUAUAACUUACAUAAUAGUUUAAUUACUAUAUAUUUUUCAAGGAAAUUGAUGUCGUUCAUAUUAAAAAUAUAAAUAGUAUAUAUAUACUUACAUAAAAUUAAUGAAAUGUUUGUAUUUAGUAAAUUUUUCUUAAUCAUUCUAAAGAUUUUAUUUUCUAUCAAUUUCAUCAAAAUAUAUGUAAUAACUCCAAAAUUUAAAUCUGAAAACAUAUGUGAUGGUUCAAAGAAAAUGGUAUAUAGAUUGUGCGACCACGUAGAAUAUAAUAAGUAUGUUGCGGUCUUGUGGAUUCGGGAAAUGCUAGAUUUUAAGAUUACAAAUCAGUGUUUAUUUUGAUAUUUCGUCUUUUGAAUUCAUAAAAAAGUGAGUAUUUAAAGAUUUUUAAGUAUUAAUUUUUUUUAUCUGGGACUAGAACUUUUUAUUUUGCAUCUAAAACUCAGAAAAGGGAAUAAAGUAAUGCAAAAGAAAAUAAGUAACCCAAAACAAUAAAUAUAAAUCUCGCAUGAAUAUAUCAAAAAUUAAUUUUUAAUUUGUAUGCAAAUACAAAUAGUUUUAUUGAAAUCACUAUCAUUAUGUUAUAUAAUAAUUAAGCCGGUGAUACCGCUUUUGAAACAGACACACAAUAAGCCCAUACUUCAUCUCUUUUCGUUAAAUAUUUGGAUUCGUUUCCGAUUAAACUAGGUCUAUCCGCGAUAUAUUUAACAAGUGUGUCAUGACACUCUUUGCCUUCUUGAACAAGCUCCUUGCAACAAGGAAUGGAUACAACUCCAUCUCCAAAAACUUGAGAAAUGAUCUUGAGCGCACAGUUUGGACUGAUUUUAACAACACAUUGAUCCCAUAACGUUUUUGGCUCAUUUUCUUCUACAGCUAAUGAAGGCACACAUGUAAUCGCCACAACUAGAACAACAAAAGACAACAUAAUAAAAUUAAGCUUCACCAUGGUUGUUAUGUGUUUGAGGAUUUACAGUUUAACUUUUCUCAAGUUAGAGAAAGAAAUAAGUUUUUAAAUUUCUGAUGUUAUUUGAAUAAACGAGGUUUGCCCUAUUUAUAGAUACGAAUAAUCAAUAUUUAACAUAUUUUUUCAACUAAUGAAUUUUGCUUUUGACGUUUUUUUGUUCAUUAACAUGUGUUAAGUUACGUUUUUUGCUGAAGUUAUUAACUGCUUAGGUUUAUAGUUUAUAAAUAAUUAAAUUAGGAUUCUUGUAGUAUAAAAAUGAACAUACUAAGAACUUAUAUAAGUAUUUAAAUUAAAAACUACUGAACAUUUUUUAAUGAAUAUUUUUUAUGUCAGCAACAUAUAAUUUGGUGGUUGUAUAUCAACUUACUAACAAAAACCAAAAGUACACUCUAACAUUUUAUCAAUCUAAAAAUGAUUUAAAGUAUAUAUCAAUAUAUUUCUCUGAGAUUAAAGGAGAGAGUUCCAGAUUUUAUAUAUUCUUUAUUUCAUGAUGUAGGAUGCUUAAGAAUAUAAUUUUAUCCUUUUAAUUGUAUAAAGUUUUAUAUUGAGAUGGUUAUUAGGUAAAACAUGACUCCACUUGGGAAAGUAAUCUACAAAUUUAAAUUCCCUCUACAAGAAACAAAACAUGAAAUCUAUAAAGAAUGAAAUUUAAUAAAAAAGAAAUAAAAAAUGAAACCAAAUUUUUGAAUUUAAACUUGCGGUAUCAUAAUUUAUCAAUUUCUAACUUACAUAAUAGUUUAAUUACUAUAUAUCUUUCAAGGAAAUUAAUGUGUUUCAUAAUAAAAAUAUAAACAGUAUAUAUAUAUACUUACAUAAAACUAACGAAAUGUUAUUUUUAUUCUUGAAUGAAUUUUUUUAAUUGAGUUGAGUCCUUUUAAAAAUGUUUCAUGCCACAGUUUUGAGGUGCGACUCCGUUUGUAUUAGAUUAAUUUUUUUUAAUCAUUCUAAAGAUUUUAUUUUCUAUCAAUUUCAUCAAAAUAUAUGUAAUAACUCCAAAAUUUAAACCUGAAAACAUAUGUGAUGGUUCAAAGAAAAUGGUAUAUAGAUUGUGCGACCACGUGCAAUAUAAUAAGUAUGCUGCGGUCUUGUGGAUUCAAGAAAUGCUAUAUUUUUAAGAUUGCAAAUCAGUGUUUAUUUUGAUAUUUCGUCUUUUUAAUUCAUAAAAACUGUGAGUAUUAAUUUUUUUUUAAGUAUUAAUAUCUUUAAUCUGGGACUAGACCUUUUUAUUUUGCAUCUAAAACUCAGAAAAGGGAAUAUAUAAAGUAAUACAAAAGAAAAUAAGUAACACAAAACGAUAAAUAUAAAUCUCACAUAAAUAAAUUAAAAAAUAUUUUUUAUUUUGUAUGCAAAUACAAAUAGUUUUAUUAAAAUCACAUAUCAUUAUGUUAAAUAAUAAUUAAGCCGGUGAUACCGCUUUUGAAACAAACACACAAUAAGCCCAUACUUCAUCUCUUUUCUUUAAAUAUUUGGAUUCGUUUCCGAUUAAACUAGGUCUAUCCGCGAUAUAUUUGACAAGUGUGUCAUGACACUCUUUGCCUUCUUGAACAAGCUCCUUGCAACAAGGAAUGGAUACAACUCCAUCUCCAAAAAUUUGAGAAAUGAUCUUGAGCGCACAGUUUGGACUGAUUUUAACAACACAUUGAUCCCAUAACUUUUUUGGCUCAUUUUCUUCUACAGCUAAUGAAGGCACACAUGUAAGCGCCACAAUUAGAACAACAAAAGACAACAUAAUAAAAUUAAGCUUCACCAUGGUUGUUAUGUGUUUGAGGAUUUCCAGUUUAACUUUUCUCAAGUUAGAGAAAGAAAUAAGUUUUUAAAUUUCUGAUGUUAUUUGAAUAAACGAAGUUUGCCCUAUUUAUAGAUACGAAUAAUCAAUAUUUAACAUUUAUUUUCGAGUAAUGAAUUUUGCUUUUGAUGUUUUUUUGUUCAUUAACAUGUGUUAAGUUACGUUUUAUGCUGAAGUUAUAAACUGCUUAGGUUUAUAGUUUAUAAAUAAUUAAAUUAGGAUUCUUGUAGUAUAAAAAUGAACAUACUAAGAACUUAUAUAAGUAUUUAAUUUAAAAACUACUGAACAUUAUUUAAUGAAUAUUUUUUAUGUCAGCAACAUAUAAUUUGGUGGUUGUAUAUCAACUUACUAACAAAACCCAAAAGUACACUCUAACAUUUAAUCAAUCUAUAAAUGAUUUAAAGUAUAUAUCAAUAUAUUUCUCUCUGAGAUUAAAAGAGAGAGUUUCAGAUUUUAUAUAUUCUUUAUUUCAUGAUGUAGGAUGCUAAAGAAUAUAUUUUUAUCCUUUUAAUUGUAUAAAGUUGUAUAUCGAGAUGGUUAUUAGGUAAAACAUGACUCCACUUGGGAAAAUAAUCUACAAAUUUAAAUUCCCUCUACAAGAAACAAAAUAUGAAAUCUAUAAAGAAUGAAAUUUGAUAAAAAAGAAAUAGAAAAUGUGUGUUAAAAAAAAUAAAAAUGAAAACAAAUUUUCGAAUUUAAGCUUGCGAUAUCAGGUUUUAUCAAUUUAUAACUUACAUAAUAGUUUAAUUACAAUAUAUUUUUCAAGGAAAUUGAUGUCGUUCAUAUUAAAAAUAAUAUAAAUAGUAUAUAUAUACUUACAUAAAAUUAACAAAAUGUUUGUAUUUGGUUAAUUUUUCUUAAUCAUUCUAAAGAUUUUAUUUUCUAUCAAUUUCAUCAAAAUAUAUGUAAUAACUCCAAAAUUUAAAUCUGAAAACAUAUGUGAUGGUUCAAAGAAAAUGGUAUAUAGAUUGUGCGACCACGUAGAAUAUAAUAAGUAUGUUGCGGUCUUGUGGAUUCGGGAAAUGAUAGAUUUUAAGAUUACAAAUCAGUGUUUAUUUUGAUAUUUUGUCUUUUGAAUUCAUAAAAAAAGUGAGUAUUUAAAGAUUUUUAAGUAUUAAUUAUUUUAAUCUGGGACUAGACCUUUUUAUUUUGCAUCUAAAACUCAGAAAAGGGAAUAAAGUAAUGCAAAAGAAAAUAAGUAACACAAAACAAUAAAUAUAAAUCUCACAUGAAUAUAUCAAAAAUUAAUUUUUAAUUUGUAUGCAAAUACAAAUAGUUUUAUUGAAAUCACAUAUCAUUAUGUUAAAUAAUAAUUAAGCCGGUGAUACCGCUUUUGAAACAGACACACAAUAAGCCCAUACUUCAUCUCUUUUCUUUAAAUAUUUGGAUUCGUUUCCGAUUAAACUAGGUCUAUCCGCGAUAUAUUUAACAAGUGUGUCAUGACACUCUUUGCCUUCUUGAACAAGCUCCUUGCAACAAGGAAUUGAUACAACUCCAUCUCCAAAAACUUGAGAAAUGAUCUUGAGCGCACAGUUUGGACUGAUUUUAACAACACAUUGAUCCCAUAACUUUUUUAGCUCAUUUUCUUCUACACCAAAUGAAGGCACACAUAUAAUCGCCACAACUAGAACAACAAAAGACAACAUAAUAAAAUUAAGCUUCGCCAUGGUUGUUAUGUGUUUGAGGAUUUACAGUUUAACUUUUCUCAAGUUAGAGAAAUAAAUAAGUUUUUAAAUUUCUGAUGUUAUUUGAAUAAACGAGGGUUACCCUAUUUAUAGAUACGAAUAAUCAAUAUUUAACAUUUAUUUUCGAUUAAUGAAUUUUGUUUUUGACGUUUUUUGUUCAUUAACAUGUGUUAAGUUACGUUUUUUGCUUAAGUUAUUAACUGCUUAGGUUUAUAGUUUAUAAAUAAUUAAAUUAGGAUUCUUGUAUUAUACAAAUGAACAUACUAAGAACUUAUAUAAGUAUUUAAAUUAUAAACUACAGAACAUUUUUAAUGAAUAUUGUUUUUAUGUCAGCAACCUAUAAUUUGGUGGUUGUAUAUCAACUUACUAACAAAAACCAAAAGUACACUCAACAUUUGAUUAAUCUAAAAAUGAUUUAAAGUAUAUAUCAAUAUAUCUCUCUCUGAGAUUAAAGGAGAUAGUUCCAGAUUUUAUAUAUUCUUUAUUUGGUGAUGUAGGAUGCUUAAGAAUAUAAUUUUAUCCUUUUAAUUCAUUAAUUGUAUAAAGUUUUAUAUCGAGAUGGUUAUUAGGUAAAACAUGACUCCACUUGGGAAAGUAAUCUACAAAUUUAAAUUCCCUCUACAAGAAACAAAACAUGAAAUCUAUAAAGAAUGAAAUUUAAUAAAAAAGAAAUAAAAAAUGAAACCAAAUUUUCGAAUUUAAACUUGCGAUAUCAUAAUUUAUCAAUUUCUAACUUACAUAAUAGUUUAAUUACUAUAUAUCUUUCAAGGAAAUUAAUGUGUUUCAUAUUAAAAAUAUAAAUAGUAUAUAUAUAUACUUACAUAAAAUUAACGAAAUGUUAUUUUUAUUCUUGAAUGAAUUUUUUUAAUUGAGUUGAGUCCUUUUAAAAAUGUUUCAUGCCACAGUUUUGAGGUGUGACUCCGUUUGUAUUUGGUUAUUUUUUUUAAUCAUUCUAAAGAUUUUAUUUUCUAUCAAUUUCAUCAAAAUAUAUGUAAUAACUCCAAAAUUUAAACCUGAAAACAUAUGUGAUGGUUCAAAGAAAAUGGUAUAUAGUUUGUGCGACCACGUGCAAUGUAAUAAGUAUGCUGCGGUUUUGUGGAUUCAAGAAAUGCUAUAUUUUUAAGAUUACAAAUCAGUGUUUAUUUUGAUAUUUCGUCUUUUUAAUUCAUAAAAACUGUGAGUAUUAAUUUUUUUUUUAAGUGUUAAUAUCUUUAAUCUGGGACUAGACCUUUUUAUUUUGCAUCUAAAACUCAGAAAAGGGAAUAUAUAAAGUAAUACAAAAGAAAAUAAGUAACACAAAACGAUAAAUAUAAAUCUCACAUAAAUAUAUUAAAAAUUAUUUUUUAUUUUGUAUGCAAAUACAAAUAGUUUUAUUAAAAUCACAUAUCAUUAUGUUAAAUAAUAAUUAAGCCGGUGAUACCGCUUUUGAAACAGAUACACAAUAAACCCAUACUGCAUCUCUUUUCUUUAAAUAUUUGGAUUCGUUUCCGAUUAAACUAGGUCUAUCCGCGAUAUAUUUGACAAGUGUGUCAUGACACUCUUUGCCUUCUUGAACAAGCUCCUUGCAACAAGGAAUGGAUACAACUCCAUCUCCAAAAACUUGAGAAAUGAUCUUGAGCGCACAGUUUGGACUGAUUUUAACAACACAUUGAUCCCAUAACUUUUUUGGCUCAUUUUCUUCUACAGCUAAUGAAGGUACACAUGUAAUCGCCACAACUAGAACAACAAAAGACAACAUAAUAAAGUUAAUCUUUGCCAUGGUUGUUAUGUGUUUGAAGAUUUACAGUUUAACUUUUUUUCAAGUUAG